CCCCAAGGGAAUUUUAAAAAUUGGGUGGGAGCCCCCCCAGGGGUACCGUUGCGUUUAAUUGGAGUAACGCGGGAAUCUUUUCCGGGAGGUCCACACAUUGAAAGCCCCGGGUUUUAAAUUUUCUUUCCCCCGACCAGUUUAAGAAGGAAGGUUCAUUGGCCCGUUCCCCCAGUUUUCCUCGUGAGGGUUCCUUCCUUAAGUGAAGGCUACGACGAGACCCCCGCCCCCCCCAUUGUUUGCCAGCCAAAAUUCCAAAAAGGGGAUUGUUUGCGGCAACUUUUUUGGGGGGGACCCGCAAGCCCGAGAAUGUGCUUGAGGGAAGGUUGCGGGCAACGGCCAGGGUCAAGUAAUUCCCCCGAAUCUCCCCGGUCCACCCCCCCCCCGCAUGUAGGACAGAGGGCUGCAACCCCGAAGGGGAAAGCCAAUUCCCAAAAACAACCUCAGUUGGAUCGAGGGCUGAACCCGCCCUCGUGAACCAUGAAUGCCUAAUAACCGCCGGUCAUCAUCCAGGCGUGAAUACGUCCCUGCUCCUUGCACACACUGCCCGUCGAACCACCCGAAUGACGGUUUUGGUGAGGCAUGGUCGAAAAGUUAGGCCGUGUCGAACCUGGGCCUACGUAAGGAGGGUAAGUUUGAAUCAAGGAAGCAGAAUCACCGAGGCCAGAAGCCAACGGGGUCCUUUGUGCUU
rnacentral:rRNA from 1 species